rnacentral:lncRNA from 1 species
UGGACACUUCAUUGAUGAGUUUAUUCUAAAACACCUAUCUAUAGAUGGACUGGUUUAUUAUGAGCGAACAGGUUAAACUACGCCCAGUCAAGUGAAAUAAAUUGAGUAAUACAUAUAGUUGUACAAUCCAAAUUUCUGUAGAGUUUUGUUUUCUAUAAAACAACUAUUUUUAAUUCAACCUAUUUAUCCACACAGGUCAUAUGGUGGUGAUGAGUGCCAUAACAAUUUCUGUUAAUUGUUCAAUGAAUGAAAGUUAAAAGAGUGUUUAGAUGUUAAAAAAAUAAUUCUCAUUACUUUUGUUGUAUUUGGAGUUGAGUUUUCUCCUGAUGAUUUUUAAUAUCAGAAAUAUGUGCAUAACAAAAUUUACUAUUGUUUUUUGUUAUUUCAAACCUUACUUACAACAAGUAUCGUUAGAUUGGUUAAGGGGGCUCGCGGGUCUAAAUCGAUUUUUAUAUUUAAUAUAGGAUUUCGCUAUAUUUCUCUAUAAAUUUAAUUUUAUCUUAUACUUAAUAGAAAAAUGAAAUAAAAAAAUGGGGUUACCGUUCAUUUACGCUCACAAUCUGCCUUCAAAAGAAGCAUACAUUUUUGUUAAUGUCCUUUUUUUCUGUUGAACUAAUAGGAGAAAUAGCGGUAAUAUCAAAAUAAAAAAGGAACUAAAUUACAGAAAUUGCUUAAAUUUUACAAUUAUUUAGUUUAUGUACAGCUUAUUCAAAAACAACAUUAAAAAAUAUAGGUCACCAAUGAGUUAAAAAAAAAUGGCAUUUUUGCACCUAAGGGAAAUAAUUUUGAGCGUUUUAAGUGAUAUUUUCAUUUUAAAAGUCACCUGGGGCCAACACAAAUUGAUUUCUUGGAAUGAAUUUUUUACCGUAAGAUAAAGUAACAACUACUAAAGGUAAUAAAUAAAAUUUGUAAUGAAAAAUAAAUGUUUAAUUUUUUUCUAAAAAUCUUUAUACCCGCAAGCCUCCUUAAGGCUUUCAAAACAUGAUAUCAUAAUCUUAACGAAAGAAAAUUGCAUAUGUUAGAAAACCUGUCAAAAGAAUAAUAGAAAUGUAAGUUGUUAAUCUCCACUUAAACAAAUUUCCAAAAUUUCCAAAGGGAGAUAAUAUUGUAACAAAUUUUCAAAAAGGGAGAUAAUAUUGUAACAAAUUUCCAAAAAGGGAGAUAAUAUUGUACCAAUUUCCAAAGGGAGAUAUUAUUUAAAGGGGUAAAUUCAGUAAAUAAAUAUACGUCAUCAGGGACCGCCCAUUUAGGGGAGAGCUUUCUGUAUAACACUGAAGUCAUAUGCUCUUCUGAUUGGUAGAUAAUGUUUGUAAUAAAUAUUUUUUGGCAGAUGGAUCAAAACUAGAGUUGAAAAAAAAAAAAAAUAAAUGCUGAAUGUACUAAUUUUUUUUACUACAGGGUUGAAAAGUAAUGGGGGUCAGUUUAGGAAUUCUGUGCGAAUCUACAUUGUUUGUAAACAAGGCCAUGUGAGUGCCCAAAAAUGCCGCAUGACCCUAUGUUUUUAUUAGUGCAAAAGAUAGGGCUACAUUUGUACUUUCAUGAAUGUUAUAUGAAAGUUUCCAAUUUCUAAAGGUAAAUCAGGUAUAAAUUUAAUUCCAUACAUAGAUUAGCAUUAAAGUCAAUGGGAGAUUUUUUACUGAAUUUACCCCUAUAGGAAAAUAUGCACUCUUUCACUGUACUUGUCCAAGGCCACACAAUAAUCCACAAACUCAUUUCCUGUAAAUUUUAAUGUAAUGGAAGGAUUUUGGAACCAUUUGAAGUUGUUUUUUACACAAAUUUCUAUCUUAGCCGCGGCUAUUCAGGAUGCACUGAGUGUACUGUGAGAGGAAGCAUGGGGUAUAUGUUAAAAAUCAGUUUUUGUGUGCAGAUUGAACGAAACAAUAGAAAUGACACUUUAGAGUUAUGAUAUCAAUGAAAGGCACAUAUAUCCUCCCUAUUUACAUCACAUUUUGCACAUAUUUCUCCUCAUAAUAUAUAUAUAUAUAAAAUCAUAUGAAAAAUGGAUUACCUCCCUUUGACAUAGUGAUUUUUUUUUUAGCUGUGUUCCCCAUGUUAAGUUGUAGAACAAGUGGUAAAUAAGCACUUUUCUAGUAUUUUUAACACUCAAAUAAUCUGACCGCAUGAAGAUAUUCAUUUAUUUUCACAUAACGCAUUGCGAUUCUUUAUUUAAAAACUAUACUAGACAACUUUUCAUGAUUACAUGUCCUUCAUCUAGGAAACUAGUGUUGAAAUGUUUGUAAUUGGAUUUUUUUGUUAAAUAAUUGCUUUUAAAUAUUCUAAAUUGUUACUUUAAUCUUCCAAAUGCAAAGUUUGGUUAUAUUUAGACUUAUUUAUUCAUAUUUGGCACUUUUUUCUACUUCAGUUUUGGCUGUCUAGUUUUGGCGAAGAAUCCAUCCUGAUGUUGGGGUAACAGGAAUUUCUGCAGAGUGAUUGUCAAUGACAUUUUGUGAACUUUACAAGUAAUUAAAACACAGAUUUAGUAUAAUGAAACAUAAUUGUUGUUUUAUUUGGUAUCAAACUGCUUAAAAAAGCCUUUAAAAAGUCCUUUUGUGCUCUUUUCAGGGUAUUUAAUCAAAAACUUCCAUAUAAGGAAAAAUUUAACUAAGAGUACACCAAGUCUUUAGUUUCUAGGUGUACUUGCAAUACUGGUCAAAGCAAACACAGAAAACAAUUCAUAUUUAUUAAACAUAGUAUUUUACACCAUUCUUUUAAAAACAGUCAAUGUGCAACUUUAUAUACCAAAUAUACAUUGGCCGCAGUAUGGGCUGUAGUAUAAAUUUUGCUCUAUCUUUACAAACUCAGCAUUUAUGAAUGUUGUAUUGAAACUGGAACUUGAAAAUUGGAUACCUUACAUGUUUAUUACAAAAAAAGUGGGAAAAGAAGCAAAAAAGUCCCUUAUAGGGGUAAAUUCAGUAAAUAAAUAUACGUCAUCAGGGACCGCCCAUUUAGGGGAGAGCUUUCUGUAUAACACUGAAGUCAUAUGCUCUUCUGAUUGGUAGAUAAUGUUUGUAAUAAUAUUUUUUUGGCAGAUGGAUCAAAACUAGAGUUGAAAAAAAAAAAAAAUAAAUGCUGAAUGUACUAAUUUUUUUUACUACAGGGUUGAAAAGUAAUGGGGGUCAGUUUAGGAAUUCUGUGCGAAUCUACAUUGUUUGUAAACAAGGCCAUGUGAGUGCCCAAAAAUGCCGCAUGACCCUAUGUUUUUAUUAGUGCAAAAGAUAGGGCUACAUUUGUACUUUCAUGAAUGUUAUAUGAAAGUUUCCAAUUUCUAAAGGUAAAUCAGGUAUAAAUUUAAUUCCAUACAUAGAUUAGCAUUAAAGUCAAUGGGAGAUUUUUUACUGAAUUUACCCCUAAAAAGUUUUCAAAGGGAGAUAGCAAUUUUAUCCCUUUAAGCACCAAACUACCAAAAGAAAUUUGAAAGGUCUCUAUUUUCCUAUCAUCAACAUGGUUAAUGGAGAAAAAAGAUGAUUAUAUUUAUCUGAUUUUUAUGACUAUAAUAUGUACUGCAUCACCUGUAUUCAUUGAUUGGAUGUUAAAAGUUAUUAAUUUUUUUAUGCUGCAAAAUUCAAUUUCACAUGCUUAUUGUAUUUAUUAGUGCAUGUAAUUUUAAUUUAAUAUCUUAUUUUGCAUACAUAAAGACAGACACGUUUACUAUGUAUAUGUUUAGAACCAUGUAUUGUGAUAUUUAUUUUUAGAAACAUAUCUCACCAUUGUUUUUGUGAUUGGAGCUAAUGUUAUUUGUGCUAAUUUUAUUUUAGUUCUAUUUAUGUUUUCAAAGAUGUAACAAAUAAAAUAUCUUUACUUGG